GCGUGCUUGUCACAUUGGCCGAUUCAUGUAGAAGUGGUCACGGACUUCAUUUGUCUCUUUAGAGAGAACCAUUUCGUAAACCCUAACACUAGUGUAGCCGUGUAGGUGUCUUAACCUGACCGUGUAGAUAACAAGAGAAAAUGUAUAAUCCAAAAAAGGACAACACACGAAUGCUUUUCAAGGUCGCUGCCAUAUUACACUGUGACACUGCUCUCUAGGUACAUUUUAUUGUCCCUAUUGUGACAGCCUGGCUGACCCAAGCUGAGCCGAUCAGACUCCCGUCUCCCCCAGAAACUUGCAAAGCAGAGCUGAGAAAGCGCCUCUCUUCAGGGGGCCCCACGAGGACGUGCACCUCUGGGGCAGCCUGGCCGUGUUGUCUCCUCUGCUCGGAGACUGAUCUGCUGGUGGGACCAGAGGACAGAGCGCAGGAGGAGCAGAGCCGACAAUCGGGCCGUUCCCAUGCGCCAGCCCCGGGCCCGAUGUUUCCUCCAGCGCACCUGAAACCCUGAAACCAACCUUCCUCUUUCCUUUAGCAGGAGCUUCCCUUCAGGUGGAGUUUGUUUCUUUCAACCACAUUUUUCCAUCAUUUUGCUCCCUGCCUCGCUGAGUAUUUCACUGGAAACCCCAUAACUACAUAUAGAGUCAGCUGAACUUAGAGGUGGGGUGGCUUUAAGAAAGGGUGAUGUAUUAAAAUACAGGUGUACAAACCUGAAAAUUUAACGGAUAAGUAUUCAUUACCUCGAAACAUUGUCUGGUGGCUCUCAGCGGGUUAAGGAUCCAGCGUUGUCACUGCUGUGGCGCUGGUUACCGCUGUGGUGUGGGUUCAGUCCUUGGCUGGGGAACUUGGCGUGCCAUGGGUAUGGCCAAAAAAAGAAAGGGAAACAGCAUGUCCACUGCAGUAAAUGAUGACGCAGCUGUCCAGUGGAGUUGCUGUACAGCUAUAACCAGAAACAAUAGCGUGAAUCUGCAUAUGCCAAUAUGGAAAUAUCUCCAGGAAUAUUAUGGGAAAAAACCGAAUCCACCUACAGCACAGUUUUAUCCCUCUGUGCAUGUGCACUUUGACACGCACAUUCUUGUACCUUUUUUUUUUUAAUUUCCAAGAGACAGCAGGGAAAUGCUCACAAAGGUUACCUUUUGAGAGAGGGACUGGGGAAGAAAGGCGGCUUUCACUUUGUAUUUAUCCUUUCCUUUCUAUUCCUGAUUUACGUUUUGAGUCAUGUGGCCUGGUGUGUGUGUUUCAGUGUGUGGUUAGUGAAAUUAUAAGCUUUAUUCUCUCUAAUACAUUUCUGUACUCUACUAAAAAAAAAAAAAAGACACUAAAAAAUGAAUAGAGAAAGCAGAACCGAGAAAAACGAAUAGCAGAACUGAGAGAACGGAACAGCCAUGGCUACGGAAUGGAUGUCAGGAAAUCAGAUUCAGAGCCCAGAACCCCAGAACCGUUCAGGAAUGUGGAGCACCCGGUGCUCUGAGAAUGUGGGGUGAGACGUGGGGCUGGACAUACAGGAAAUGAUGGAAAAUGUACUUUUAAGAUCCCUCCUGGUCAGCCAAUCACCCCUUCCCGCCGAGAGGGAAGCGCUAGCCUGCGGAGAAAGCCAACCAGACAGUUUCCACACCAGGGCCACCAGGAACAGCAACGAGAGGGGACCAAGAGCUGUGCCUCGAACUGAGAAAUUGACGAGUCGGCUAGCGGCCCCCGGCCCCUCCGCCGUGUAGCUGCGGGAGCAGUGGCAGCCAGGCAGGUUUCUGUCCCGGGAAGAACCUUGAAAGGUUGGCCUCCAGAUCCUAAAUGCCCCUCCCCAGAGAAGAGAGCUCCAGGGGCAACAUUUUGCAUUUUCU
rnacentral:lncRNA from 1 species